AGCAGCCGCGGUAAUUCCAGCUCCAAUAGCGUAUAUUAAAGUUGUUGCAGUUAAAAAGCUCGUAGUUGAAUUUCGGGGUUAGUAGGUCGGUCGUGCCACUGGUAUGUACUGGUCUCACUGAUUCCUCCUUCCUGAUGAACCGUAAUGCCAUUAAUUUGGUGUUGCGGGGAGACUGGACUGUUACUUUGAAAAAAUUAGAGUGUUUAAAGCAGGCUCGCGCUUGAAUACAUUAGCAUGGAAUAAUGAAAUAGGACGUUUGAUUCUAUUUUGUUGGUUUCUAGGAUCGACGUAAUGAUUAAUAGGGAUAGUUGGGGGCAUUAGUAUUCAAUUGUCAGAGGUGAAAUUCUUGGAUUUAUUGAAGACUAACUACUGCGAAAGCAUUUGCCAAGGAUGUUUUCAUUAAUCAAGAACGAAAGUUAGGGGAUCGAAGACGAUCAGAUACCGUCGUAGUCUUAACCAUAAACUAUGCCGACUAGGGAUCGGAUGAUGUUAAUUUUUUAAUG
rnacentral:sRNA from 1 species